rnacentral:rRNA from 1 species
UGGCGAACGGGUGAGUAACACGUGAGUAACCUGCCCUUAACUCUGGGAUAAGCCUGGGAAACUGGGUCUAAUACCGGAUAUGACUCCUCAUCGCAUGGUGGGGGGUGGAAAGCUUUUUGUGGUUUUGGAUGGACUCGCGGCCUAUCAGCUUGUUGGUGAGGUAAUGGCUCACCAAGGCGACGACGGGUAGCCGGCCUGAGAGGGUGACCGGCCACACUGGGACUGAGACACGGCCCAGACUCCUACGGGAGGCAGCAGUGGGGAAUAUUGCACAAUGGGCGCAAGCCUGAUGCAGCGACGCCGCGUGAGGGAUGACGGCCUUCGGGUUGUAAACCUCUUUCAGUAGGGAAGAAGCGAAAGUGACGGUACCUGCAGAAGAAGCGCCGGCUAACUACGUGCCAGCAGCCGCGGUAAUACGUAGGGCGCAAGCGUUAUCCGGAAUUAUUGGGCGUAAAGAGCUCGUAGGCGGUUUGUCGCGUCUGCCGUGAAAGUCCGGGGCUCAACUCCGGAUCUGCGGUGGGUACGGGCAGACUAGAGUGAUGUAGGGGAGACUGGAAUUCCUGGUGUAGCGGUGAAAUGCGCAGAUAUCAGGAGGAACACCGAUGGCGAANGCAGGUCUCUGGGCAUUAACUGACGCUGANGAGCGAAAGCAUGGGGAGCGAACAGGAUUAGAUACCCUGGGUAGUCCAUGCCGUAAACGUUGGGCACUAGGUGUGGGGGACAUUCCACGUUUUUCCGCNCCGUAGCUAACGCAUUAAGUGCCCCGCCUGGGGAGU